CUACAGAGGGUGCGAGCGUUAAUCGGAAUUACUGGGCGUAAAGCGCGCGUAGGCGGCUACUUAAGUCAGAUGUGAAAUCCCCGGGCUCAACCUGGGAACUGCAUCUGAUACUGGGUAGCUAGAGUUUUGGAGAGGGAAGUAGAAUUUCAGGUGUAGCGGUUAAAUGCAUAGAGAUCUGAAGGAAUACCAGUGGCGAAGGCGACUUCCUGGCCAAAAACUGACGCUGAGGUGCGAAAGCGUGGGUAGCAAACGGGAUUAGAAACCCCUGUAGUCC
rnacentral:rRNA from 1 species